GGCGGCUCCCAGCGGCCUGCUCGCUCGGAAAUGGGGGGAAGGGUGAGGGUCGGCCGUCGCCAAGCCCCAGGGGCCUACGCGCAGUAGGCGAAAAACGCCGCCUCCCCGUUAACGAUGGUCAAACACCAGCGCGGCCCCCGCAUCGCCUCACAACUCCCUGUGUUCGCGUCUCACCUGCCCGUUGGGAAACGGACCGAGGCGAGUGUCCGAGCCGGGCCACGGCCGCGAUGUCGCUCUCCCUGGGCCGCAGUGCAGCCAUGGGGGAAAGCAGAGACCGCGUUCGGGAUUGGUCUCCGCACCGUGGGUGUUCGCUGAACUUUGAAACCCUCUUUUCUGGUUCACUCUUGUCAUCUGCCAGUGGAGGGCGAUACUUGGAAAACUGCCUCGUCUGGAACAGCAGAAAACUGCAAGGCCUGUGAAGAACUCUGAAUUGGAUUGAGAAGGAGAGCACUGCUGUGACUCCAUCUUCAGCUGAGGAUGGUAGAAAAGGAACUUAGGGAGGAUCGCGCUAUGCAUGCAUCUAAUGGACUAAAACAGUGCGAGACAGCAACUGCACAUGUGUGGUGCAGGAAGGCACUGCUAGGCAAAAUCUCCAAUCAGCAGCACGAAGGUGCGCCAAGACAUCAGUGGAGCACCCACAGGAACACCGCUAGAACUAAGGUCCACUGCAAGUUGGUGGGAAGGAGCAUCAAUACCAUAUCAAGAAGGUGAAGAAAGGAAGAGAUUUAACAAGAAAGUUUUGUAGCAACAUUUAGCAAAUUUGAGCUACAGAAACAAAAACACUAAGGGUACGUCUAGACUACAUGGCUCUGUCGACGGAUGUAGAUUUGUUUGUUUGGCAAAGGGAAAUGAAAUUUAAAUGGCUGCCCCACUCUGCCGAUCAGCUGUUUGUCGGCAGAUCGGGGAAGUCU